GCAUGGCGCUUCUUCCUGGCUGCUGGAGGUUGUCUAGGACUCAGAGCAACACCUGCUGCUAGGCAACCGCCCUUCCAGCCCUCCGGGGGUGGGCGUGGCCACGCGCUGGGCGGAGCCAAGGCUUUCUUGUCCCAGGUCCCCAGGCCCGUGAUGACAAGAGUUGUAGACCCUAACUCUAAUUGCACCCUCUGUGGUAAGUGUUAACUUGAACGGGUGAAUGACCAGCUAUGGAAAGCACGUGUCUGGCUGCCCUUUACGAAGUUGCCUCGUUUUGUCAGGAUCCUUCGCUCAAGACCACAGACAACCCAGGAAGAACCUGGAGGUCCAUGGUUGAGAGACCCCACUGAAGGGAGGAAGCUGGACCCCUGGACACAGCCUCAGCAGCCUGCUUUGUUCUGGGAGAGGAGAGAGCAUCUGUUCUCCAGUCCUGAGAUUCAGGGGUGGAUUUUGUUUGGUUCUUUUUUUUUUUUUUCUUCAGUCAUUCGUCUGACAGUUACCUUCCUGUGAGUGCAACACACGUUUAUAAAAACCAGCAUAGUUGAUGUUUUUAUACUCAUUAUGAAAAAUACAUGGGUUAAAAACUCUCA